rnacentral:misc_RNA from 1 species
GUAGGUGAACCUGCGGAAGGAUCAUUAACACUUUUCAUCCCUAAUUCCUGGCCAUUGAGCGGCUGCGGCCUUCACGGGUUUGCGCUGCUUUUGGUUAGGUUCCAACCCCUUUGUGUGCACUUGUUGAGAGGAAAAAUAAUGAUGAUGUAGAGUUUAUUCUCUGCUUAGUCUACCUUUUUCUCUUGUUUUUUCUCAUUUUUACCAUUUUUUACCCCUUUUCUAAUGCUAUAGACUGAAAUAAUAACCUUUUUGGAAGGGUUUAAAACAUCCAAAAGAGUAAUACAACUCUUAGCAACGGAUAUCUAGGCUCUC